CGCCCCAGGCUCAGAAGGUUCAAUCAACACACAAUAACACAAGGCAUAUACUUCACCCAUAUCUAUGUAAUCGUCCCAUACCGGCUAAUAGAUAUAGGUGCAUACUGGUAAUAAGCAAUCACAUCCAAGGAUGAAUGCAAAGUACACAAUCAAUAUCAAAACUCAUCAUAACUGUCCUCAUCAGGACCAUCAUCAUCGUAAUCAACUCCGGCCUUGUCAGGUAUUAACAUAUCAACAAUACAUCCUCCGGCCUUGUCGAGUAUCAACAUCAUCAUAAUAGUAUCCUCCGACCUUGCUGGGUAUCAAUAUCAUCACAAUAAUAUCCUCCGACCUUGCCGAGUAUCAAUAUCAUCACAAUAAUAUCCUUCGGCCUUGCUGGUUAUCAAUAUCAUCACAACAGUCAUUACCGAAUAACAUAUACUAAAAUAUUCAUAAACAUAGUCAUAUUAUCAUAGAAUAUCUAUCUAGG
rnacentral:lncRNA from 1 species